CUCCUACGGGAGGCAGCAGUAAGGAAUAUUGGUCGAAUGGGCGGAAGCCUGAACCAGACCAUGCCGCGUGCAGGAAGACGGCCCUACGGGGUUGUAAACUGCUUUUGCAGGGAUAAACCCCGUANCGUAUACGGGUUGAAUGUACUCUGAGAAUAAGGAUCCGGCUAACUCCGUGCCAGCAGCCGCGGUAAUAC
rnacentral:rRNA from 1 species